rnacentral:rRNA from 1 species
UACAGAGGUCUCAAGCGUUGUUCGGAUUCAUUGGGCGUAAAGCGCGCGUAGGCGGCCCGGUAAGUCCGCUGUGAAAGUCAAAGGCUCAACCUUUGAAUGUCAGCGGAUACUGCCGGGCUAGAGUCCGGAAGAGGCGAGUGGAACUCCUGGUGUAGCGGUGGAAUGCGCAGAUAUCAGGAAGAACACCAACGGCGAAGGCAGCUCGCUGGGACGGAACUGACGCUAAGGCGCGAAAGCGUGGGGAGCGAACAGG